rnacentral:rRNA from 1 species
GAUGAACGCUGGCGGCGUGCCUAAUACAUACAAGUCGAGCGAACAGACGAGGAGCUUGCUCCUCUGACGUUAGCGGCGGACGGGUGAGUAACACGUGGAUAACCUACCUAUAAGACUGGGAUAACUUCGGGAAACCGGAGCUAAUACCGGAUAAUAUAUUGAACCGCAUGGUUCAAUAGUGAAAGACGGUUUUGCUGUCACUUAUAGAUGGAUCCGCGCCGCAUUAGCUAGUUGGUAAGGUAACGGCUUACCAAGGCAACGAUGCGUAGCCGACCUGAGAGGGUGAUCGGCCACACUGGAACUGAGACACGGUCCAGACUCCUACGGGAGGCAGCAGUAGGGAAUCUUCCGCAAUGGGCGAAAGCUUGACGGAGCAACGCCGCGUGAGUGAUGAAGGUCUUCGGAUCGUAAAACUCUGUUAUUAGGGAAGAACAAAUGUGUAAGUAACUAUGCACGUCUUGACGGUACCUAAUCAGAAGGCCACGGCUAACUACG